UACGAGGGGGGCGAGCGUUGUUCGGAAUUAUUGGGCGUAAAGGGUGCGUAGGCGGUUUGGUAAGUCUUAUGUGAAAUCUACAGGCUCAACUUGUAGUCUGCAUGAGAAACUGCCGGGCUUGAGUAUGGGAGAGGUGAGUGGAAUUCCUGGUGUAGCGGUGAAAUGCGUAGAUAUCAUUUGGAACGCCAACGGAGAAAUCAGGUAGCUGGGGGUGUGCUGACGCUGAGACACGAAAGCCAGGGGAGCGAACGGG
rnacentral:rRNA from 1 species